UGGGGAAUCUUCCGCAAUGGGCGCAAGCCUGACGGAGCAACGCCGCGUGAGUGAAGAAGGGUUUCGACUCGUAAAGCUCUGUUGUCGGGGACGAAUGUGGAGAUGGCAAACAGUCAUUUCCAAUGACGGUACCUGACGAGGAAGCCACGGCUAACUACGUGCCAGCAGCCGCGGUAAUACGUAGGUGGCGAGCGUUGUCCGGAAUUAUUGGGCGUAAAGGGAGCGCAGGCGGGAAGGUAAGUCUAUCUUAAAAGUGCGGGGCUCAACCCCGUGAGGGGAUGGAAACUAUCUUUCUUGAGUGCAGGAGAGGAAAGCGGAAUUCCUAGUGUAGCGGUGAAAUGCGUAGAUAUUAGGAGGAACACCAGUGGCGAAGGCGGCUUUCUGGACUGUAACUGACGCUGAGGCUCGAAAGCCAGGGGAGCGAACG
rnacentral:rRNA from 1 species